rnacentral:rRNA from 1 species
CAGCAGCCGCGGGAAUACGGAGGAUCCAAGCGUUAUCCGGAUUUAUUGGGUUUAAAGGGUGCGUAGGCGGCCUGUUAAGUCAGGGGUGAAAGACGGUAGCUCAACUAUCGCAGUGCCCUUGAUACUGACGGGCUUGAAUGCAGCUGAAGUGGGCGGAAUGUGACAAGUAGCGGUGAAAUGCAUAGAUAUGUCACAGAACACCGAUUGCGAAGGCAGCUCACUAAAGUGCGAUUGACGCUGAGGCACGAAAGCGUGGGGAUCAAACAGGAUUAGAUACCCCAGUAGUCCCUGUCUCUUAUAA